rnacentral:lncRNA from 1 species
UCGCCCUCCUCAGUGACUGGAUCUGCACUGCUGCUUGCUCAGGCCCUGGAAGAUCACCCCAAAGCAUGCCACCUUGGUUGUGCUGCUGUUUUGUAAACCUGGAGACGUGAGUUAGUGACAGAACAGGAUGAAAUCCCUGAAAUGGAUAAAGUCAAGAUUGAAGAAAACCUGGGCAGCAGGAGAGAAGGGAGAGAAGCAGCACACUUUCUCUUCAGGAAGCACCAUGCUACCUGCAAGUUGCUGAGAAUGCAUUUCAGUCCUCUGCACAGCCUGGCUCCUUUCAACCUGCAUAGAGAAGAUGUGCUGGAGGAAGCAGACACAGAGAACAAGAACCUUCCUCUUAUUAAAAACAAUAAAACUGUAAAACUAUAGAAGUGAGGCCAUUACACUGCUUAGUGUGCUUAGUGCACUGAGUUGUGCUAAUCACUGAGGGUUUAUUCAGGUCUGAGGAAGUGGGUCUCACACCCACAGCGCUGAGUGAUGAGAUGUAUGCAGGUGAAGACUGUGGAGAAGGAGCAGCAGCUGCCUGAGAAGGGCAAUGGCUUCCUCCAAAUCUCCAUGUGAUUGAAGGUGCAGUGACCAAGUCAGGGCUGAGCGUGGGGACUGUCUGGUGAUUUCCCCAGGCCAGCCAUGCCAAUCAUGAGCCUCUCCCAGAGGAGGGUCCUGGUGGACUUCUUCCCCACCACUCAUCUGAUCGUGGUCUCAUGAGUGUUUACUGAAGUUGGCCUGACAAGACUCCAAGGAAGCCUCUGAUCAUAAACCUGGUGGAUAGCAGACACAUGGUCUCGCUAUGGAGUUCAGGCUGGCCUCAGACUCAUGGCAAUCCUCCUGCUCCAGCCUCCUGAGUGUUUCGAUUGCAGG